CCUUAAAGAUGAUGCUGCUCAGGCUCUUGCUUCUAAGUGUGGUGUCGCCAUGGACGUCCCCGUCUCCAAGACCAUCAAUUGUGAUACAAUCAGUUAUUAAUGAGCAGCACGGUGUCAGGAAUAAUGCCAAGGAGAUGGCCAUGAUAUGUUGGUUAUAUUAGAUAUAUGUUGAGUAUAGUUUUCUUGAGGGAACGUUUAUUUAUUAAACCUGGGGUCGUGAGGCUCCCUCUCUGUUGUACAAUUACUAUGCAGUAAUAUACUACUAUAGUGCUCCCUUUUUGUUCAUCA